rfam:Salmo salar isolate Sally breed double haploid chromosome ssa05, whole genome shotgun sequence.
UGCACUCACUACUGUAAGUUGCUCUGGAUAAGAGCAUUUGCUAAACGGCAGAAA